GCAAGUCGAGCGGACAGAAGGGAGCUUGCUUCCCGGACGUUAGCGGCGGACGGGUGAGUUACACGUAGGUAACCUGCCCCUUAGACUGGGAUAACUUCGGGAAACCGGAGGUUAUUCGGGAUUAUUAAGAGAAUCACCUGAUUUUCUUUUGAAAGACGGCGUCUAGCUGUCACUAAGGGAUGGGCCUGCGGCGCAUUAGCUAGUUGGUAAGGUAACGGCUUACCAAGGCGACGAUGCGUAGCCGACCUGAGAGGGUGAUCGGCCACACUGGGACUGAGACACGGCCCAGACUCCUACGGGAGGCAGCAGUAGGGAAUCUUCCGCAAUGGACGAAAGUCUGACGGAGCAACGCCGCGUGAGUGAGGAAGGCCUUCGGGUCGUAAAGCUCUGUUGUGAGGGAAGAACAAGUACCGGAGUAACUGCCGGUACCUUGACGGUACCUCACCAGAAAGCCACGGCUAACUACGUGCCAGCAGCCGCGGUAAUACGUAGGUGGCAAGCGUUGUCCGGAAUUAUUGGGCGUAAAGCGCGCGCAGGCGGCUUCUUAAGUCUGAUGUGAAAUCUCGGGGCUCAACCCCGAGCGGCCAUUGGAAACUGGGAAGCUUGAGUGCAGAAGAGGAGAGUGGAAUUCCACGUGUAGCGGUGAAAUGCGUAGAUAUGUGGAGGAACACCAGUGGCGAAGGCGACUCUCUGGUCUGUAACUGACGCUGAGGCGCGAAAGCGUGGGGAGCAAACAGGAUUAGAUACCCUGGUAGUCCACGCCGUAAACGAUGAGUGCUAGGUGUUAGGGGUUUCGAUGCCCGUAGUGCCGAAGUAAACACAUUAAGC
rnacentral:rRNA from 2 species